rnacentral:rRNA from 1 species
GGAUUCCCCUAGUAACUGCGAGUGAAGCGGGAAAAGCUCAAAUUUAAAAUCUGGCGGUCUCUGGCCGUCCGAGUUGUAAUCUAGAGAAGUGUUACCCGCGCUGGACCGUGUACAAGUCCCCUGGAAUGGGGCGUCAUAGAGGGUGAGAAUCCCGUCUCUGACACGGACUACCAGGGCUUUGUGGUAUGCUCUCAAAGAGUCGAGUUGUUUGGGAAUGCAGCUCAAAAUGGGUGGUAAAUUCCAUCUAAAGCUAAAUAUUGGCGAGAGACCGAUAGCGAACAAGUACCGUGAGGGAAAGAUGAAAAGAACUUUGGAAAGAGAGUUAAACAGUACGUGAAAUUGCUGAAAGGGAAACGCUUGAAGUCAGUCGCGUUGGCCGGGAAUCAGCCUCGCUUUUGUGUGGUGUACUUUCUGGUUGACGGGUCAGCAUCAAUUUUGACUGCUGGAAAAAGGCUUGGGGAAUGUGGCAGCUCCGGCUGUGUUAUAGCCCCUUGUCACAUACAGCGGUUGGGAUUGAGGAACUCAGCACGCCGCAAGGCCGGGUUUCGACCACGUUCGUGCUUAGGAUGCUGGCAUAAUGGCUUUAAGCGACCCGUCUUGAAACACGGACCAAGGAGUCUAACAUGCCUGCGAGUGUUUGGGUGGAAAACCCGAGCGCGUAAUGAAAGUGAAAGUUGAGAUCCCUGUCGUGGGGAGCAUCGACGCCCGGACCAGAACUUUUGGGACGGAUCCGCGGUAGAGCAUGUAUGUUGGGACCCGAAAGAUGGUGAACUAUGCCUGAAUAGGGUGAAGCCAGAGGAAACUCUGGUGGAGGCUCGUAGCGAUUCUGACGUGCAAAUCGAUCGUCAAAUUUGGGUAUAGGGGCGAAAGACUAAUCGAA